rnacentral:lncRNA from 1 species
UGUACGGGCCCAUAACUUGGCUCUGAUACCAUGUUAAAAUUUUAGAUUGAUGGGCCUUGGAGCCCCAUUCUAACGACACCAUUAAAGUUCCAAACUAGGUAAUUAUCAUCUACCCAAUAGGUCAGGUGUGAAGUUUUAUCACAAAAGAUCUUAAUUAUAGUUAAAAUAGACUAAUCAUAUUUAAACUCAUUAUUUUUGUCUUUCCCCGACCGAUGUAGGAUAGCCAUCAGUUUUUAAACACGAGGCAUGCAGAUGCAAUUCUUGCCAAACCUGAGGAUGUGAAUGCAAUUUGGUUGCUGUUAUUUAUGCAGAUUUUGACCACAAUUUUAGACUCCAGCAGGAUCCCACCUGAUGUUGUCCAUAAAAUUUGCUUAAUGUGUUUGAGCUUUUUGUUUUCACAAGAGCGAAAACGUGAGUGGCAACGUAUUCGGACGAGAAAAUUGUCAUAAUCUUGCACAAUCUUUUGAGAUUUUGCAUCCGUCUUCACGAUUCCAUAAAAAUAUCAUAUGAUUAUCCAAAGGAGUAAUUAGGUUUUCAUCCUUAUUUUUACUACUCUAUUGAUUAAAAC